CUUGGUCAUUUAGAGGAAGUAAAAGUCGUAACAAGGUCUCCGUUGGUGAACCAGCGGAGGGAUCAUUACCGAGUUUACAACUCCCAAACCCCUGUGAACAUACCAAUUGUUGCCUCGGCGGAUCAGCCCGCUCCCGGUAAAACGGAACGGCCCGCCAGAGGACCCCUAAACUCUGUUUCUAUAUGUAACUUCUGAGUAAAACCAUAAAUAAAUCAAAACUUUCAACAACGGAUCUCUUGGUUCUGGCAUCGAUGAAGAACGCAGCAAAAUGCGAUAAGUGAUGUGAAUUGCAGAAUUCAGUGAAUCAUCGAAUCUUUGAACGCACAUUGCGCCCGCCAGUAUUCUGGCGGGCAUGCCUGUUCGAGCGUCAUUUCAACCCUCAAGCCCCCGGGUUUGGUGUUGGGGAUCGGCGAGUCUCACGGCAAGCCGGCCCCGAAAUACAGUGGCGGUCUCGCUGCAGCUUCCAUUGCGUAGUAGUAAAACCCUCGCAACUGGUACGCGGCGCGGCCAAGCCGUUAAACCCCCAACUUCUGAAUGUUGACCUCGGAUCAGGUAGGAAUACCCGCUGAACUUAAGCAUAUCAAUAAGCGGAGGA
rnacentral:rRNA from 1 species